rnacentral:rRNA from 1 species
CCUACGGUGGGCUGCAGUAGGGAAUAUUGGUCAAUGGGCGCAAGCCUGACCCAGCAACGCCGCGUGAAGGAAGAAGGUUUUCGGGUUGUACACUUCUUUUGUUAGGGACGAUUCAAGUGACGGUACCUGACGAAUAAGCCACGGCCAACUACCUGCCAGCAGCCGCGGUAAUACGUAGGUGGCAAGCGUUAUGCGGAUUUACUGGGUGGAAAGGGGGUGUAGGGGGGACUGCAAGUCAGAUGUGAAAUCCACGGGCGCAACCUGUGGCCUGCAUGUGAAACUGUACUUCUUGAGUACUGGAGAGGCAGACGGAAUUCUUGGUGUAGGGGUGAAAUGCGUAGAUAUUAAGAGGAACACCAGUGGCGAAGGCGGUCUGCUGGACAGCAACUGACGCUGAGGCGCGAAAGCGUGGGGAGCAAACAGGAUUAGAUACCCUUGUAGUC